GACGAACGCUGGCGGCGUGCCUAAUACAUGCAAGUUGAGCGCUGAAGGUUGGUACUUGUACCAACUGGAUGAGCAGCGAACGGGUGAGUAACGCGUGGGGAAUCUGCCUUUGAGCGGGGGACAACAUUUGGAAACGAAUGCUAAUACCGCAUAAAAACUUUAAACACAAGUUUUAAGUUUGAAAGAUGCAAUUGCAUCACUCAAAGAUGAUCCCGCGUUGUAUUAGCUAGUUGGUGAGGUAAAGGCUCACCAAGGCGAUGAUACAUAGCCGACCUGGGAGGGUGAUCGGCCACAUUGGGACUGGGACACGGCCCAAACUCCUACGGGAGGCAGCAGUAGGGAAUCUUCGGCAAUGGACGAAAGUCUGACCGGGCAACGCCGCGUGAGUGAAGAAGGUUUUCGGAUCGUAAAACUCUGUUGGUAGAGAAGAACGUUGGUGAGAGUGGAAAGCUCAUCAAGUGACGGUAACUACCCAGAAAGGGACGGCUAACUACAUG
rnacentral:rRNA from 1 species